GUCAAAUAGGAUUUUUGUUGUUUCACCUGAUUCACCUGGGUGGAGCCUUUUUUUAUCUACUUCCUACCAAGUUUCUUGUACUAUGCAUCAGUGAAGUUGUGUCACAUUGGCAGUUGUAGGCAAGAAUGGAACCCCUGCAGAUAACGAGGGCCACCUGUAACUGCCAGCCCUUGCUUCUGGAAAGUUCCAGAUACAGAUCUUUCAAAAACCUCUGGAGUCUUGGAACCUAUACAACUCACAGAACGAUCACAGGGAGAAAGAAGACAAAAAUGAGUAAAAUUGUGUAUGUAUGAGGCCCUCCUAUCUGUCUCAAAUUUGGCAGGUCUGGUCCUUUUCAGAGUGUGUAGAGUGCUGGAAAAUAUCAUGCCUAUACAAUGGGGGAAACACAAACUAUACAGUGGAAAACAUCUAAAAGUACAUAGUUUUCAAUGUGGAGCUUAUAGGAUGUAUGCCUUUUUAUAUUGCUUCUAAAACAGGGACUAUCUAUCCCUGUUUCAGAUAUUUUUUGAAAUUUGUCAGGAAGGAAUAGUAGAAUGCCUGCAAAUGUCUUGCAAUAUAGGUGGAACAUUCUGAAG